UUUAAAGGAUAACAGCAAUCCAUUGGUUUU
rnacentral:tRNA from 1 species